rnacentral:rRNA from 1 species
GAUGAACGCUGGCGGCGUGCCUAAUACAUGCAAGUCGAGCGAACAGACGAGGAGCUUGCUCCUUUGACGUUAGCGGCGGACGGGUGAGUAACACGUAGGUAACCUACCUAUAAGACUGGUAUAACUUCGAGAAACCGGAGCUAAUACCGGAUAAUAUUUCGAACCGCAUGGUUCGAUAGUGAAAGAUGGCUUUGCUAUCACUUAUAGAUGGACCUGCGCUGUAUUAGCUAGUUGGUAAGGUAACGGCUUACCAAGGCAACGAUACGUAGCCGACGUGAGAGGGUGAUAGGCCACCCUGGAACUGAGACACGGUCCAGACUCCUACGGGAGGCAGCAGUAGGGAAUCUGCCGCAAUGGGCGAAAGCCUGACGGAGCAACGCCGCGUGAGUGAUGAAGGUCUUCGGAUCGUAAAACUCUGUUAUUAGGGAAGAACAAACGUGUAAGUAACUGUGCACGUCUUGACGGUACCUAAUCAGAAAGCCACGGCUAACUACGUG